GAUGGAAUCUGGGGCAGAGGGGGAAGGUUAGCUCCUAAGGCUGGAGAGGAGGUGAGGAAGAGAGCUAGUGGAAUUUACUGGAGAGGGACAGAUGCCCAUAACAAGACACUUAUUUAUAUCGGAACAAAAGUUGGGACUCUGGGAGAGUUCGACUCUGAAAGCUUCUGUUUUUGCUGAAAGGUAUGCUAAAUUCAAAAGGAACUGUGCUGUGUUGUAAGUAUGU